ensembl:lncRNA
UUUGCCUCCUCUCAGUUGCUUCUUCCCUCCCCCAGCUCCUUCUCUCUCUUCCUCCUAUUGGCUGGGUAGGCGGAGAGAGAGAGAGAGAGAUUGAGUUUCUCAGGUCUUAACCAGACAGUCCUGUUCAGUCAGCUGUCGGAGAAAGAGAGUUAGAGUGAGACAGAGAGUUUGAGCAUGUCUGUCAGGUGGAGUUCUCUACAUCUGGACCUGGAAUGUGAAAUCUGGGGAAGCUAACACAGCUUGCCCUGUUUGUGGACUCCCACAGCCAUUAUGAAGGGACAGGUGGUCUUAGGACACCCUAUGCCAUUUGCCCCAGUGCCCUGGGACUUCAACAGGACUCCUCCCAAGAGAGGUAAGAGCGUCGAAGAGUUGGUGAGUGAGGGCUGGGAGAAGGAGAAAUGCAUACAAAUGCUGCAUUUUCAACAGCAGCAACAACUUCAGCAGCAGUCAGUCAUGUGCCCUCAGGACUUCACAACUGUACCAGCACAAUGGGAGCACCAGGCCUACCUCGGACAAGCCAAUGGGUACCGUCAACAAUGCUGGGAAUAUGAAGACUGGGACAAGGUUCCUUACCGAGAGGUCCCUCCCCAAGAGUUCUUCUAUCAAUCACCAGAAGCAGCAUACCAAGAGCCGAGGAACCCUCAGGAAUGGACCAGCAAUCACUGUUUCUAUCAGCACCGGGAAGAACUGGAUUACGCUGACCACAGAGACUUUGCACAGAGCCCAAGGAGUAAAGAAUGUCCUGACUUUGUGGCCCGGUACCACUCUUGGGAAUCAGAUGAGUACUGUGAGGGUCGAGAGCCUUACAGUCGCAGAGAUCGGGAUGCGUACAGUUUUGACCCUGAUAACCAGGACUACUAUGAUAAGGAGCUCAAUAGUUAUAAAGAUGGGGACCGCAGGAGCCGGGAUUACUAUGACCAUAAAGAGUUGGAUAAGUAUGACCGUUAUGACUGCAGAGACCAGUACAAUGACAGUAAACAUCACGAACAUUACGACACCAGGAAAAAGGACAGGUACAGAUAUAGAGAAGCAGACCACUAUGACUCCAGAGACAAUUACCAGUAUGAGCGCUAUGAUCGUGGAGGGAAAGACCAGAGUGAUGAUAGAAAAGGGGACCGCUAUGACCGUAGUUACUGUGAGGAAGGCCAUAGGAGAGGUGACAGCUACCGGUAUAGAGAGAGGGAUUCAAUCGAUCGAAGAGACUAUGACCGGUAUGUACAAAGAAAGGGAGAUUACUAUGACUACAAAGAAAAGGAGAAGAUCCGCAGUGACUUUAGGAAAGAUGACUACUGUGACCGUAGAGAAAGAACAGGAGAAAGGGACCCCUCUAAACUAGAUGACAAGGAAUGGUACGAACGUAAGAAACGUAACCACUAUGACCUCAAACUGAGAGACCGGUAUGAUUACAGAGAA